CCUACGGGAGGCAGCAGUGGGGAAUAUUGCACAAUGGGCGCAAGCCUGAUGCAGCCAUGCCGCGUGUGUGAAGAAGGCCUUCGGGUUGUAAAGCACUUUCAGCGGGGAGGAAGGCGGUGAGGUUAAUAACCUCAUCGAUUGACGUUACCCGCAGAAGAAGCACCGGCUAACUCCGUGCCAGCAGCCGCGGUAAUACGGAGGGUGCAAGCGUUAAUCGGAAUUACUGGGCGUAAAGCGCACGCAGGCGGUCUGUCAAGUCGGAUGUGAAAUCCCCGGGCUCAGCCUGGGAACUGCAUUCGAGCCUGGCAGGCUAGAGUCUUGUAGAGGGGGGUAGAAUUCCAGGUGUAGCGGGGAAAUGCGUAGAGAUCUGGAGGAAUACCGGUGGCGAAGGCGGCCCCCUGGACAAAGACUGACGCUCAGGUGCGAAAGCGUGGGGAGCAAACAGGAUUAGAUACCCGUGUAGUC
rnacentral:rRNA from 1 species